CAUUCUCAACUUGAGUCCUCUUGCACGUUCAUGGAUGAGAUUCUGCUUCCUAAUGUUAAUCAGACAAAUACUGCUCCGGCAGUUGAUUCUCCAGUAUCAAGUAAAGCUCAUCAUGGCAAGUGGCCUUAGUUUUGCUGUAGGUGGAAGUGGAUCAACUCAGAGAAGAUCUGGUGCAACUGAAAUAUUCAGCGAACCAAAAAAUGUCAAAGCUUCCCAGUAGGACUAUCACAUGUCUAGUUAUGUAUAGCACUCUCUCUCUUCCUAUGUUCCAUUUGUCUUUCUCAUGCUCAAUGUUAAGGUGCAAGACAAAGUAUUGGUGAAUCAAGUAAUGUUAAAGCUUCAUACCAGCAUUAUCCACUUGUCCAGCUAGUAUGGCGCUGUUGCUAUUUCUCAAAAAGCCAUAUGGAACUUGUAUCUUCCAAAAUGCUCAAAGCAUGUAACUUGUGCCAUACGACAGUCACAAGAUUGCAGAGAACAAGUGGAACACACAUAAAUCUAUGCAGUCAAAGGUGGUUUUCUGCUUCCUCUAGUGAAAUUUUGCCAUCCAAUCUGCCAUGGAACCAAUUCCUUCAAAAGUCUGGCUAUUGCAGUCGGCAUCAGCUGCUAUCCUCUUCCAGGCCUGUUCUGCAGUCAUUUUCCUUAGGGAAUUAUUAUUCUCCUACUUUAGAGAAUGAUCUUUAUGAGUUGACAAUAGGAGCUUAUCCUUGCUCCUCAACUUCAUUCCUUUCAAACUGGAUUUAGGAGCAACAGCCAUACCACGGUUGACUAUGUAAUGAUUUGCUUGUAGGAUGUACUCAGUGCUUAUAAAUGUGGGAUUGGGUUUUAUUUAGAUAUACGAGAACGAAUGAGCACGGAUGGCUCAUGUCAUUAAGAUACAAGUGAACAAUUCAUUAUUGUGUUGAGGAAUGAUUUUUUGAGUUUAUCUUCCACCUAUCUUUUUUAACGUUAGACACAGAAUAUAUCUGGCAUUGGCAUCUCCUCUAAGUUUUGCUUAUUUUGUUCCCCUUUAUGGAAACAGGGUGAAUUCCUCUGUGUCUCAGUACUUAUAUUAUUGUUUUCA